rnacentral:rRNA from 1 species
CCUAUACAUGACUCUGCGCAUAUCAAUAAGCGGAGGAAAAGAAACUAACAAGGAUUCCCCUAGUAACGGCGAGUGAAGCGGGAAGAGCUCAAAUUUGAAAUCUUAAAGGGUUUCCCUUUACGAAUUGUAGUUUAAAGAAGUGUUUUCUGUUGAGGUUUUGGUAAAAGUUCUUUGGAAUAGGACAUCAUAGGGGGUGAGAAUCCCGUAUUUGACCUUUACUUUCAACUUUGUGAUACACUUUCAAAGAGUCGGAUUGUUUGGGAAUGCAGUCCAAAAUGGGUGGUAAAUUUCAUCUAAAGCUAAAUAUUGGCGAGAGACCGAUAGCGAACAAGUACCGUGAGGGAAAGAUGAAAAGAACUUUGAAAAGAGAGUUAAACAGUACGUGAAAUUGUCAAAAGGGAAGCGUUUGACACCAGUGUUGUUUUUUCUGAAAAUCAAUUAAAGAACUGUUUAUGCUAAGCUGUUUAGACUUUAUCAGCUAUCUGUUUAGUUUUGAGCUUUUCUUUAAUGCACCUUUUCAGUUAACAAGUCAACAUCAAUUUCUUUUGCUGUAAAAAAGCUUGAGGAAGGUGGCUUGAGAUUCGUCUUAAGUGUUUAUAGCCUCUUGCCUAUGCAGUCGGAGAGAUUGAGGUCUGCAGCGUAGAUUCCUUCGGGGCUAGAUGCAUUUGUGCUAAGUUAUAGCAUUUUAUAGACAACUUGUUGACUAUGAUUUGUCUUGUAGCUUACUCGCUUAUGUUAUUUUACCUACGCUUAGGAUGUUGAUCUACAGAGCGAGAGU